CAUGCAAGUCGAGCGAAUCUGAGGGAGCUUGCUCCCAAAGAUUAGCGGCGGACGGGUGAGUAACACGUGGGCAACCUGCCUGUAAGACUGGGAUAACUUCGGGAAACCGGAGCUAAUACCGGAUAAUCCCUUUCCUCACAUGAGGAAAGGCUGAAAGACGGUUUCGGCUGUCACUUACAGAUGGGCCCGCGGCGCAUUAGCUAGUUGGUGAGGUAACGGCUCACCAAGGCCACGAUGCGUAGCCGACCUGAGAGGGUGAUCGGCCACACUGGGACUGAGACACGGCCCAGACUCCUACGGGAGGCAGCAGUAGGGAAUCUUCCGCAAUGGACGAAAGUCUGACGGAGCAACGCCGCGUGAGUGAUGAAGGUUUUCGGAUCGUAAAACUCUGUUGUUAGGGAAGAACAAGUAUCGGAGUAACUGCCGGUACCUUGACGGUACCUAACCAGAAAGCCACGGCUAACUACGUGCCAGCAGCCGCGGUAAUACGUAGGUGGCAAGCGUUGUCCGGAAUUAUUGGGCGUAAAGCGCGCGCAGGUGGUUCCUUAAGUCUGAUGUGAAAGCCCACGGCUCAACCGUGGAGGGUCAUUGGAAACUGGGGAACUUGAGUGCAGAAGAGGAAAGUGGAAUUCCAAGUGUAGCGGUGAAAUGCGUAGAGAUUUGGAGGAACNCCAGUGGCGAAGGCGACUUUCUGGUCUGUAACUGACACUGAGGCGCGAAAGNCGUGGGGAGCGAACAGGAUUAGAUACCCUGGUAGUCCACGCCGUAAACGAUGAGUGCUAAGUGUUAGAGGGUUUCCGCCCUUUAGUGCUGCAGCAAACGCAUUAAGCACUCCGCCUGGGGAGUACGACCGCAAGGUUGAAACUCAAAGGAAUUGACGGGGGCCCGCACAAGCGGUGGAGCAUGUGGUUUAAUUCGAAGCAACGCGAAGAACCUUACCAGGUCUUGACAUCCUCUGACAAUCCUAGAGAUAGGACGUUCCCCUUCGGGGGACAGAGUGACAGGUGGUGCAUGGUUGUCGUCAGCUCGUGUCGUGAGAUGUUGGGUUAAGUCCCGCAACGAGCGCAACCCUUGAUCUUAGUUGCCAGCAUUCAGUUGGGCACUCUAAGGUGACUGCCGGUGACAAACCGGAGGAAGGUGGGGAUGACGUCAAAUCAUCAUGCCCCUUAUGACCUGGGCUACACACGUGCUACAAUGGAUGGUACAAAGGGCUGCAAGACCGCGAGGUUUAGCCAAUCCCAUAAAACCAUUCUCAGUUCGGAUUGCAGGCUGCAACUCGCCUGCAUGAAGCCGGAAUCGCUAGUAAUCGCGGAUCAGCAUGCCGCGGUGAAUACGUUCCCGGGCCUUGUACACACCGCCCGUCACACCACGAGAGUUUGUAACACCCGAAGUCGGUGGGGUAACCUUUGGAGCCAGCCGCCUAAGGUGGACAGAUGAUG
rnacentral:rRNA from 1 species